rnacentral:tRNA from 1 species
GCUCCGGUGGUGUAGAGACUGAUGAAAGUCACACAAUCCGGUUAAGCAUUUCGCCCUCUCAAGGCGACGAUCCCGGGUUCAAAUCCCGGCCGGAGCA